AUUGAACGCUGGCGGCACGCCUAACACAUGCAAGUCGAGCGGCAGCGCGAUGUGUAGCAAUACACAUUGGCUGCGAGCGGCGGACGGGUGAGGAACACGUAGGAAUCUACCCUCAAGCGGGGGACAACCAAGGGAAACUUUGGCUAAUACCGCAUAAUCUCGAGAGAGCAAAGCUGCAGCAAUGUGGCACUUGAGGAGGAGCCUGCGUCCGAUUAGCUAGUUGGUAGGGUAAUGGCCUACCAAGGCAAUGAUCGGUAACUGGUCUGAGAGGACGACCAGUCACACUGGGACUGAGACACGGCCCAGACUCCUACGGGAGGCAGCAGUGGGGAAUCUUGGACAAUGGGGGCAACCCUGAUCCAGCGAUGCCGCGUGAGUGAAGAAGGCCCUCGGGUCGUAAAGCUCUUUAGGUUGGGAAGAAGAGUAUGGGAGGAAAUGCCUGUACUUUGACGGUACCGACAGAAUAAGCACCGGCAAACUCUGUGCCAGCAGCCGCAGUAAUAC
rnacentral:rRNA from 1 species